GCAUAGCUGUAAACUUUGAUGAACUAUUACAUUAUCAUCCGCCCGGGUACUACGAGCACCAGCUUAAAACCCAAAGGACUUGGCGGUGCUUUAGACCCACCUAGAGGAGCCUGUUCUAGAACCGAUAACCCCCGUUAAACCUCACCCUCUCUUGUUUUUCCCGCCUAUAUACCGCCGUCGUCAGCUUACCCUGUGAAGGACAGAUAGUAAGCGCAACCAGUAGUGCUCAAAACGUCAGGUCGAGGUGUAGCAUAUGAGGGGGGAAGAAAUGGGCUACAUUCCUUGCCUCAAGGAAAACGGAUAACAUAAUGAAAGGUAUGUUAGAAGGAGGAUUUAGCAGUAAGCAGCAAAUAGAGUGUUCUGCUGAAACUGGCCCUGAAGCGCGC
rnacentral:rRNA from 1 species